CAGUAGCCGCGGUAAUACGAAGGGGGCUAGCGUUGCUCGGAAUUACUGGGCGUAAAGGGCGCGUAGGCGGAUGUUUAAGUCAGAGGUGAAAGCCCAGGGCUCAACCUUGGAACUGCCUUUGAUACUGGACAUCUUGAGUGUGGGAGAGGUGAGUGGAACUCCGAGUGUAGAGGUGAAAUUCGUAGAUAUUCGGAAGAACACCAGUGGCGAAGGCGACUCACUGGCCCAUUACUGACGCUGAGGCUCGAAAGCGUGGGGAGCAAACAGGAUUAGAUACCCCCGUAGUCCCUGUCUCUUAUAC
rnacentral:rRNA from 1 species